GUCCCUGUAGCACAAUGGAUAGCGGGUUGGUCUUCUAAUUCAAAAGUCGUGGGUUCGCGAAUCCCAUCUGGGAUG